UCGUGUCAGGUUUUUCAGUGGUGGCGCUCGGUACCUGGGUUAGAGAACUAGGGCAAGGGGCUGCUAGCGGAUUCCUCCCGGGGCACUGGGCUGCGGUUGGUGGAGGGGGUGGAGCUGUAGGAGGGCAGCCGGCCGCGGGAGCAUCUCCUGCGGGACAGGAGGACAAGUGGAAGGGAGAGGCACUGCCACAUGCUGGAGGCUGGAGCUUGCGCCACUGCGGCUCGCCUCACUGCAGUUGGAGGUGACGUCGGACACUGUAGCUCGGCCAGAGUGCUGUGUUGGGAGUGGAAGAGGAGGAAGCCCCCGACAUCAGCAUAUACCACUGCCCAAACUAUGAGAAAACCCAUGUGAAGUCCACCUUGCUAAAGACAUAGUGACCCGUGUGCCAGACAGUCAGCUCACGCUGGGCCACAUGGAGGAUUACAGCUUCACCAAGCCCAUCUUCAUCCCUAAGAAAGACGGGCUGGGCCUGGCUGUCUCGGCCCCCAUGUUCUAUGUAAGCAAUGUCGAGAAAUAUGUGUGUAAGCGCCAUCCCCUUCAGAGGGCUCUGGGGCUUGAAUUGGGAGUGCUGGGGCACCCCCCACUGUGCGUGCUGUUUCCCCGGCCCGACUGUGUCCCAUGUGUGCCAUAAGCAGGGAAGGCUCAAGGCUCACUGUACUCUGUUCCCAGUGCUUUUAGAUCAUACUUGUGUCCCACUGAGAUGACAUGUGACCUGGCAGGUCCCUUGCCCUCCCAGAUACUCUGGCUGCAAAGUGGGGGCUGGUCUGGGAGACCCUUUGAUUCUGGCAGCUAUGAAUUGCAUUCCUGUGGGUGCUACAUGACACCGCCACGCCCGGGAGUCCCUGGUGUUGGCGGGCGCAUGUCCCCAUCCUGGCUGCCUGGCCGGGCACUUGGCCGGAUGCCUGGCCUUCCUCAUCUGUACUGUGACCUGCCCCCACGGCACCAGAGUCUCCUCGUCUGGAUUCCAUCUGGGUUCUAGCCAGUGCCAUCGCCAUCAGUAGUGCCCAUUUUAUGUCCUCUUGCAGCUCCAGAUCUACUGGGCUCAGGUAGGCACUUGUGGGUGCAGGAAGCACCAGUGGGGAUGCCAUUUGAGAGCCAGUGGCAGGGAGAGACCAGCACAUCUAGCAGUGACCAUGAUAGGCCAGUGGCCACACGGCCAAGCGUGGAGGCCAUGCAUGGUUGCAGGGCUUCAAGGUGCUCAUGGGGGAUGCAUGGAUGGCUGGCAUGGGGAGGGAAAACACUGAACAGGGAAAUGCCCAGGACAGGAGCUGGGCGGGCAGGCACACUGUCUUCUUGGUGCUGGGGCUCCGAGAGGACUACCCCCACCACUCUGAGCCUCACUCCCUUCCUCUGGCGCCGCUCGUGAGGUGUGUGCUGGAGAUGAAAUGAGGUCACCUGUACAAGCCUCUGGGCACAUACGGGCACCCAUCAGGAGGCUCACAAGUUCAAUUUCAGCAGGGGCCUGGGACCACGUCACUUCUCUCGAGCCACAUAGCCAUCCUGGGGCCACUGAGACUGGGCUCCCAGACUUGUGAGGAGGAAGAGUGAGCACCGUGGGAGCUGUCAGGCAUCUCAGGAAGAGGGGCUAGAAAGGUCUCAUCCCGGGACCUGGGGUGGAGGUCUUGGGGGUCCAUGCAAAGGGGCUGAUUCUGUGGGAUUCUUACUGAGGAGGAGGGCAGGCUGGGCAUGGUUUGAGCUGUGGCAAUAGCGCUGUGGCUGACCCUGCCCUGAGCCAGGAUCCAACCCCUGGUCUUGCCUGUGCUCGGCUUUGCCGCAGGUUUGCCUGAGUAGAGAGAGGGCCAUGGCCAUCUGGUGGGCUUGCUGCACGAUGCUGGUCUGGCAGCCUUAUGUACCACAGCCUUAAUGUUCACACUCGCUGGGCCAGUGCUCUUUGUCACCUUCCCAGCCCCAGGCAUGGUGCACGCAGUGCACCAUACAGGUGAGGGCCUGCCCAGUGUCAGGCAUUUUUCUAAGCUCUUCUGAUGUGGAAGCUAAUUUCCUCCCUCCCACAUCUCUGAGAGGUGGGGCCAGCUCUGCCACCAAGGCCCUGGGGUCAUCUAAUUAUGCGGACAGGGGCUGGUUUGUCCCCUGGCCCUGUUCCUUCCACAGCUGUUCCUGAAGAAGCAGGGAAAUGGUUCAUAGUUUGUAUUGCUUCUAUGUUUUUCUUUCCUCUUAAUUUUUUUUUUUAUGGUGAAACUUUUUAAACACACACAAAAUUUAACAGUCAGCCGUCAUACACCCAGCACUGGAAAUAAAAACCCCCAGCUUUCAGCUGAUUUUCUGCCUCCCUAUGUUUGUUCUCUUGUUGUAUUUUAAAAGAAAUUCUGGCGCAGGCAUGGUACCUCACGCCUUUAAUUCCAGCACUUUAGAAGGCUGAGGUGGGUGUUCAUCUUGAGGCCAGGAGUUCGAAACCAGCCUGGCCAACGUGGUAAAACACUGUCUCUUCUCAAAAUACAGAAAUUAGCCAAGUGUAGUGGUGGCACCUGUAGUCCCAACUCCUCGGGAGGUUGAGGCAGGAGAAUCGCUUGAACUCGGGAGGUGGAGGUUGCAGUGAGCCAAGAUCCAAGAUCACACCACUGCACUCCAGCCUGGGUGACAGAACAAGAGUCCAUCUC